CGAGACCUGGGAGUGGAGGUACUACUCUGGGUACAGGCGCUCCGUUACAGUGGGUCAUUAUGUUUGAUAGUCUUCCUGUAACAUAUGUUUAAAUUGCACUAACUGGUUUUAUAUAUCAGUUUAUGAGGGUAAAAUAUUAGUUGCUAGUUGUUCUAAAUUACAUAUUCUUCAAAAGGUCAAGCGGUGAGUAAUUCUCAGUAAUGUACUGCCCCCUAGACAAAUCCUACAGAUUAAAG